GUAUGUAUGUAUGUAUGUAUGUGUAUGUAUGUAUGUAUAUAUAUAUAUAUAAAAAGGAAAAAUACCGGCACUCAAGGAUUUUCGAAAAUUCAUUACUCCAUUUAUUGUGGAAAAAUCAAAAUCGACGUUUCAGCUCCUUUAGGAAGCUUUCAUCCGGACACCGGUGCUACACCUCCUAAUUCCCUUUACAUUUUACUAGUAGCUUCUACUCUCCAUUAACUUCCUUAAGCUAUCAAUUUCAAAUUCACUCUAUCUCUUGUCUCAAAUCCCCAUUAUUUUCUAUAGAUUGUAAGCUCAUGGGUUAUCUAAGCACUUUGUUUAAAAGAUCUCAAUGGUUAGAUCCCCGCUCACGGCAGGGCCCUCCUUACCAUUUGUAUUUGUUUGUGUAUAUUGUACCUUCUUCCCUAAUUGUACAGAGCUGAGGAAUAUGUUGGAGCUUUAUAAAUGCCAGUAAUAAAUAAAUAAAGCAAAUUUAGGCUUAAAGGACCACUAUGGAGUCAGGAACACAAACCUGUAUUCCUGACCCUAUAGUGUUAAAAUCACCAUUUAGGGUCCCUCAUGCCUCCAUAAAUAUAGUAAAAAUCUUACUGUAUUCAAGCCUGAAGCUGUAACUCUGCAUUCUGUUAGACUCAGAAAAACAAGCAGUCUGCUGACAUCAUCAGAAGUGGUAGCCUGAUCCAAUCACAAUGCUUCCCCAUAGGAUUGGCCGAGACUGACAAGGAGGCAGGUCAGGGGAAGAGCCUACAUGAUUCACACACAGCCCUGGCCAAUCAGCAUCUCCUCAUAGAGAUGAAUUGAAUCAAUGCAUCUCUGUGAGGAAAGUUCAGUGUCUGCAUGCAGAGGGAGGAGACACUGAAUGUUUGAAUGCAUUUUAGGCAGCCAUGACCCAGUAAGGAUCUCUAACAGCUAUCUGGGGAGUGGCCAGUGAAGUUAUAACUAGGCUGUAAUGUAAACACUGCAUUUUCUCUGAAAAGACAGUGUUUACAGCAAAAAUCAUGCAGGUAAUGAUUCUACUCACCAGAACAAAUUUAAUAAGCUGUAGUUGUUCUGGUGGCUAUAGUGUCCCUUUAAUAUUCCAGAGGUUAGACAAUCUAUACAUUUUACACUUAUAUACUCCUGAGAUGUUACACUUAACGAGUUUCACAUACGGUUAGGCUUUAUCAAAAGCUUUUUUAUCUAACUGUAAUUUAAAACUUUUUCCAUAAUCUUUUAUAUUACACAAUUUUCAUACAAUAUUUAGAUGAUAGCAAUUUGUGUGUGAUUGAAAUCUGCUAUCUAAUUAUUUAUUGCAGUAUCUUAUUUUUAACACUG